rnacentral:rRNA from 1 species
CCCUUAGAUGUUCUGGGCCGCACGCGCGCUACACUGAUACGUUCAACGAGUUUAUAACCUUGAUUGAUAGGUCUGGGUAAUCUUUUGAACGCGUAUCGUGCUAGGGAUAGAUUAUUGCAAUUAUUAAUCUUGAACGAGGAAUUCCUAGUAAACGCAAGUCAUCAGCUUGCAUUGAUUACGUCCCUGCCCUUUGUACACACCGCCCGUCGCACCUACCGAUUGAACGACUCGGUGAAAAAUCGGGACUGUGGUCUAGCUUGCUUAAUUGCAAACUUGACUGUGGGAACUUUCUUUAACCUAUUCAUUUAGAGGAAGGUGAAGUCGUAACA